GGGAAGCCUGUUUUAAGAUGAGGUUUCAUUUGAGGUCCCCCAAAGACGAUGGGGUUGAUAGGCCAGACCUGGACGCACCGCAAGGUGUGAAGGCUACUGGUACUAAUAGACCAAAACAAACACACACCC
rnacentral:rRNA from 1 species